AUUUUGUUUGAUUAGUUUCUAAUUAGUAUGUGUUUAUCUUUUGUCUUAGGGAGUGUAUUAUCACUUUUGUGGAACUAUUUUGUCAUGCGAUAUGAACUACUAAGUUGAAGAUCAAGGUGGAAUUCGCUGAUAUUAUUCUGGUGAUAUAUUAUAUUCGGAAGGAUAUCCUUAUUUAAACCAGAGGUUAUGGCUGAAAUGCCCCAGCUUUUGAAUGGUUAUCAUGA